AAUCAACGCUGGCGGCGUGCCUCAGACAUGCAAGUCGAACGAUUAAAGCUCUCUUUGGAGAGUGCAUAGAGUGGCGCACGGGUGAGUAACACGUAAGUAAUCUACCUUCGAGUGGGGAAUAACGUCCGGAAACGGACGCUAAUACCGCAUAAUGCAGCGGCAUCGUAAGAUGACAGUUGUUAAAGGAGCAAUUCGCUUGAAGAGGAGCUUGCGGCAGAUUAGCUAGUUGGUAAGGUAAUGGCUUACCAAGGCUACGAUCUGUAUCCGGUCUAAGAGGACGGUCGGACACACUGACACUGAAUAACGGGUCAGACUCCUACGGGAGGCAGCAGUCGGGAAUUUUGGGCAAUGGGGGAAACCCUGACCCAGCAACGCCGCGUGAAGGAUGAAGUUUUUCGGAAUGUAAACUUCGAAAGAAUAGGAAGAAUCAAUGACGGUACUAUUUAUAAGGUCCGGCUAACUACGUGCCAGCAGCCGCGGUAACAC
rnacentral:rRNA from 1 species